GCUGACUGUCACAGGGAAGGAUCUCCUUCUGGAGAUCCCUUCCUAUGGAGUUUUCUACUGCAAGCCUAGGACAUGGCACUCUGUGGAAGAUCCUGGCAACAGGGGGGAGCUCAUUGCAUUGAGUCCUCAAUAAGGGACUGAUGCUGCUGCUCAGCCUUGGCUUCCAUUAGUGUGCUGUCCUCCCUUGUCUGUCACCUGUCAGAAGAAAACACCACUUCUUCUGUGGGUUUGGAGCUGCCAUAGGCUGCAUUCUGGUUCGUUCCUGGGCAAGUGCCUGACCAUGAGUACUGCAUGCACAUGCUUUCAUCCCUGUUCCUCUGUUGGAUCAAAGCAACAUCUUCCCUGGAAGACAAAACUGUCUGCAUCUGGAAGAUGUACCUCAUUUACCAUCACAGACAUGGAUGCAAGUGAGGCUACAUUAAAUUUGGCUCUCCCUUCCCCCAUCCUCCAUUGCUAUCCCAAUAUCACCUCAUCUCCUGUGUACACUCAUGUGGGCAGUGCUUACCCACAGCAUCGUGUUACAGAAACACCGUCCUCAUGGGUUUUUGGCACUUGUAUUGGAAAAGUUGGGGGGGGGAAAAAAGGUGAUGUUUUAGGUUUGCAAGGGCAAUAGAGGAGUCUGCAAACAAGUGCUGUGCGUCUGGGCACAGCCACGCUUUGCAGCUCAGCCUGGGGGCUGCCUGGGGAGUGUGCAUUUGUGGAGCAGACACUGUCUUUGAAUCAAAUUCCUCUCUGUGACAAUCAGACACUGCCACUGAUGGGAAUGUUUAUUUUACAAAUGCAUUUAGAGAUUGAACCACCACAAUAUAAAUGGUGGAGGAGAGGGAUUUUUACAGCUAUGCUGCUGCUGUGAGCUGCAGUGUGCAUGUGUGGGAUUCACAGCGAGGGGGCUGCACAGCCAAGGAUGAAUUCUGUUCACAUCAUUUUCUGUGCCUCUCUUCAUCUGAUAUUGUUCAGAUCAGCAGAAAUAAAGUACUGACUACUAUCUUUCAUCUAGUUGUGGUUAACAGAUUUAAAAAAAAAAAAAUAAAAACCAAUAAAGAAGUAUUUUCUAUCUAUCAUUCCAUGUUCCUCUUAGUAAAAAUGUCCUUGAGUGGAGAAGAAUGUGGCAGAGACACAGCCUAAGUGACAAACCUUGAGCUCUGGAGAAAGUACGAAUAGUUCUAUAUUUCUAAUUAAUGACUUUUCUUUUUACAGCUUUUGAAAAAUAUAUCUUUAAUACACAGAUUUUCACAGCUGUGUUUAAAUCUGUGAACAUCUCCACUAUUGAAAAAUGAAAUUUCUACCUAUCAUCUGUAAGGCUGUGUGCUAGAAAACCACAGUGCAUCAGGUAGAGAUGAAUGCCAUGCUACUGUGAUAAGACAACAGAGCACUGACUUCUUCCAGCUCUUCUUGCACAUUAUCCUGAAAUGAACUUUCUUGCUCAGUGGCUUCAUUUGUAUCAUCAUUUUCAGUCACUAACCCAUAAAAAACAUACCCUUAAAUUCCCUGAUAACUUUUGAGCACGUACUGAAUUAGAACAAGAUUCAUGACUGCUUCUGAGCUGAGAGUUUUCUGCUUUUAUUACAAGUAUUGGCUUGCUUCAUGUAUUUACCAUGAAGACUUUAGUCAGUUAGAAUGAUUUUCACUGUGUGUUUGUGACACGUCCUCUGUGAUUGUUCCAUCUUUCUCUGUUAUCUGCAGAAGCAGUCUCAGCCCUGGCAGAUCAUACCCAUGUUAAGGUUUGAUCAACAUGGACUUACACCAGCAUGAGAGGAAUGUGAGAUAGGGUUACAAUUUCUUUUCCAGGACAGUCAUAUUGCACAGCUCCCCAUGUGCACCAUUUAUAGAAGGACCAAGGGCUGCAGCUUGUCCUGCAAUCCUAACAGAGAUCAAGCUGUUACAAGGUAAGCAUUUUUUUAUUGAUGUGCCAGGGGUGACACAUGGUAAUGUCACUCUUAAUUUCUGUGGAAUAAAAUGGUGCAAUUUUGGUUUGUAAACAAGUUCUCCUAAGCUGAAAGCUUAAAACCUGAUCCCUUGGAUUACUGUACUUCUCCUCUGCUUUCCUUCACCCCUAUUUCAGGCCACGUAUACUAAGUAUGCAGAUAGCAGCAUGCUGCAUAUCGGGUAUCUCCGACAGCUGGCAGCAUCCUUGGAGUUCAUGCAUAGCACGAAUAGCACAAGAGCGAACCCAAAGGCUUUGAAAUGUUUCAUGAGGUUUGCUUUUAUGUUACGUUUUUUCCAGGUGCUGUUUCCAUAUGUUUCAAAGUUUGAAAAAAGUUCUCUUGUUUUUAAAUUGAUGACGAAUGCUGAAAAGCAGACACUGUGCUAAGCACAUAUCAGAGCUUUUUUUCCAUCUAUUUGAGGUCCUGAAGGGCAUUCUGGGAACUACUGCUUUUUCUUUUUUUUUUUGGUCAAAAGCUCAGUAUUACAGUUUCUAUUUAAUUUUGAUGUACAACUUGUUAUGCUAUCUAUACAUACCAUUUUUGUAUGAAGUGGAUAAGAGAAGUAUUUAUGAGAAGAGAUAACUGGAGCCAAAGUGAGUAAACCUGAUAUGAUAUAGUGUGCAAACUGUACAACAAAAAUGCCUCCGACUCCGUCUAUUGAAAAACACUGCCCAGACCUCCUCCCAUUCUACUGCUGUAAGCUAUUUUUCAGUAUUUUCAAUGAUUGUUUUGCGUACCUUUCGAAAGCAGCAUGAUUUCAGUUGUUUAUGUGAUGAUUUCUCUGAUGAUAGAUGGAAAUCCCAGCUGAGUUUCUGUCUCCAGUAUGCUAAUUAGCAGACAAACAGAGCAAAAUCAAGUGGUUGCAUCUUGCAGGAUGCUGCCUGCUUUAACUAACUGAGCUCCCUCUAAAUGUGUUUGCAGCUGACAAAACAAACUGUAGGUCAGUCUAGAGGGAUUUGUUGUGAUAUGUAAAUAAAAUGGAUUCUUUUUU